GAGAUAUCACAUCAUCACCAUUGGCCAGGCAGGGCUGAGAAAUACAUAGGAAGGGAUGAGUAAGCCGAGCUGUGUCAGAGAAUGACAAAAUCUUUGUCAUUCUUGUGGGAAUGAGGAAAAGUCUAUCAUGAGAGUGAAAGGUAGGUGAAAGUCAAGGGUGCUUCAAUGAGAAAAGGGGAAACAGGCAUUGGAUGGGAUCCGGCAGGGUCCCUGGACAGAUGGUAUACCCUGGACCAACUCUCCUAUGAUGUGGCAGUAGCUGGGCAUCUUGUUCAAAGGUUCAUCACAGAACCCAAACCUGUGCCUCCCUGCCUAGGACUCGCCCUGCUAAAAGGAAAGGCACUACAGACCGCUGAUGCCUUCCUAAGCUGAAGUGGUCCUUGCUCCACUAGCUCCAUCCAUGGAUGGAGGCUCUCAUUCACAGCUGACAGACCCUGCUAUCAUAGGCUGCAGUCAUACCGUGAGGAUGCUGGAAGAGUGGAAAUGAAUAGCUGUGCUGUGUGCCAGGCCAUAUGCCGCCUGUGUGCUGCAAGCCGUCUCCAUCAAACUUCAGAUUCUGCCUAGGGAAUGGGAUCUCUUCAUCUUCAGCCAAAACACUGAGACUCAGACGGGAGGUGCAGCUCCUCCACGAUUGAUAAGAAUCUGAAAUACGUAGACAUCGCAGGGGGCCAGCCCUCUCAAAGGUCGGUUCAUUUCCUCUUCACGUGCUGUCCAUUGGUCUCUAGCUGUCAAUCAAGAGAUGAAUCUGGAGUUCUUUUUCUGCUGCACCCUGCUCACUCCCUAUCCUCACUGGGCUACAUAACACCUCCAGAAGCCAAAGUCAGACACUCAAGGAUGAGUUUAUGGAAGACUGGAUAUUGAAACAAGAUGCCCAGGAGGGGUUUUCCUUGUGUCCUGAAUCUGCUGCAGGAUGUUCAGGAGUCCACAUGCACCAGCCCCUGUCUGCAGACUCUGAGAGAAAAAACCCUGACUGACAUGUGAACAGAGAAUGAUAGGCAGGAUGUGCCUGUGCACACUCCUCCCCACCUCUUCAACACACCUCAUCACAGACAGGUCUGCUGCACAGGAGAAGGAAGUGAGCUCGGGAUCCAGCCUUGGUCGGAAGCUUGAAAUGAGAGGAACUGAGUCUGAAAUACUGGACGGAGGAUGGCAAGGGAAAGGCAGAAAAUAAUGACAGCUGCCAAGGUGACACGGAGAAGCACCGCAGGAAGAUACAAGUUCUUUGAGGAGCUCAGUUAUGGGUGCCCCACUCUUUCCAGUUCUGCUCUCUCCAGCCCCGCUUGCUCCAGCCCAAAGAUUUAUUUAUUUUUAUUAUAGAUGUGAUGACACAGCACUCAGAAGGUGAGACGGGGAUUGCUUGGAGCCCUAGGCCAGCUUGGGCUACGUAGUGAAAAUCUGGUCAGCCAGAGCAGAAUCCUAUCCCCUCCCCUGUUCCUACCCCAAAUCCCAUUGUGUAUAUAGUUUGUAAGAGACAGUGGUUCACUAUCUGGAACAGGUCUUUAAGCCCACUUCUACCUUGUGAAAUGCAUAGAAAUGACCACUCAGCUUGGGGUAGAGAUCUCUGCUUUCCUGGUGUCUAGGUGUGGAUGUAGUCCCAGAGCACAUGAUCAGGCCCCUCCCUAUUUGGCAGCUGAGUAUAGGGAACUCCAAGGUGCUCAAGGGAAGGGGAAACCACAAGUUGGGAGGAGAGGAGCCCAAAUGUCUGACCCAGCAACAACUGACACCACACGCAUGAACUGGCACAUGCACAAGAACAGAAUCCCACAAGCUGGCGCUCAAUGCAGCAAUCCCUGUGACAUGGAAAAUAGAAUACUUGGUGAGGUAGAGCUCCUUCUAAACAAUAGUUACUUUUACUCAGUGUUGCUGGUGAUUAAAAUAAUAUAUAAAUGUGGUAUAUACAUACAUACAUAUAUACACACACACAUAUAUAUAGUUUCUGAACUAGGAAAAUCCCUUUAGUAUCUCAUUUUUUUCUGUUUUUUUUUUAUUAAAGAUUUAUCUAUUUCAUAUAUGUGAGUCUGUUGCUGUCUUCAGACACACCAGAAGAGGGCAUUAGAACCCAUUACAGAUGGUUUUGAGCCGUCAUGUGAUUGCUGGGAUUUGAACUCAGGACCUCUGGAAGAACAGCCAGUGCUCUUAACCGCUGAGUCAUCUCUCCAGCCCCCUUUAGUGUCCCAUAACAUCUAUUGUCAGAUUCUAUCACGAGGUUGCUUUAUUUACAAGCAAGGACCCUUCUUUCUCCUAUCCACUCCUGGUCCUUAUGCUCGUUUUUCUUAUCUCAAAUCUUGGUCAGGCCGGCAGUUCUCAUCUCAUCUCUGAUUAUAGUGGGAAUCCAUCUACUUAUUCUUCAUUAAGUCUGAAGUUGGACAGAGCUAGGCAUGGGUCCCAUUUGUGAGUUUAAGGAAGCACUAGGAUGGAGUCUAGUCUAUUUCUAUUUCUAGUCCUUUUCUAUUUUGUAAGUUAGAUAUUAGUUCAUUCAUUUUUAUCCUCCCCAGCUCUCUAACACAGAUACUACUUUCUGCCUUGGCAAUAUUCCACAUUUUUGGGAAACACUUCCCCCGUGAGAAGAGCACAUGCCACACGUGUAUGAAAAUUCAUCUGCCAACUAAUUAAAAUAAAAUAGACAUUCAUAGUUAUGAAAUGUCUAACUUGGGGCCUGGGGAGCUGGUGCCCUGGCUGUUUCCACUUGCUCAGCGUGUGCAAGCAAUGGUCUGAUUUCCGUCAUUAAAAAGUAAGUUGGCAUUUUCUAGAAGUUUCUUCAAAUGUAGUCAUGAGAGACUUAUUUAUAUCACUAAGCUUUUUCUGAGACAAGUUAUUUUGAGAUACACACGUGUCCACUCCUUUCUACGACUGUGAAGAACUCCAUUGUAUGAGCUAUGCUUCCACUUGCUUGUCCAUUCUCCCAUGGAUGGACAUUUACUGCAGCUAAAACAGGUAAAUAUGCUUGAGUGCCUGCCUGUCACAGCCAUGCUUUCGUCUGUUUGAGUAAAUGGCCUGGGUUAUGGUGGCUGAGCCAGAACUGCAAGCUUAGCACUUCAGGAGAGGGUCAAACUAACUUCCAACGCUAUUGCUUUAUUUUCUAUUUCCACAUCUUUAAGACUUCUGUUUUGCUUCAUGUUUGUUACCACAGCUCAGAGUGAGCUCCCACUUUAGUACGGUGUCAAGUCUCCUGAUCAUUUGCACUUACAAUCUUUGUUGUUAUUGUUGGCGUUUGUUCUCCUAUUGUUGCGUUUCACAUAACUUCUGUAUUCUGUAUACAUGUCCUUUAUCAUAGUUCUGCAUUGUGCAUGUUCUAUCUCAGUCUGAGGCUUGUCCUCUCGGUAAUGGGUGGUGUCUUUUGAAAGGCAGAGUUCUUAAUGUUAAUGUAGUCAACUGUAUCACCAAUUGAUUUUAUGGAUCGUGCUUUCGGUAUCCUAUAUUUGAUCCCACUAUACUAGGAUUUUCUGCUGCCUGCGUUUUCUUCUAGAUGUUUGACAAUCGUCAGAUCUAUGAUUUCACUUGAACUGUUGCCUGAGGUUAAGAUCUAUGAUCUGUUUUGGCAUGAGGUAUGGGUUGAUGUUUAUUUAAUGCACAAGCACGUGCAAGUACCAUUGAAAAGUACAGAAUUUACUCUACUUAGUUCUGGGUAGCUUCUCUGGCUAAAUCUUGAAGGACUCACUCACAUGCCAUUUCUCAUUACCUUUCUCAGUCUUCCCUCAGAAGCUCCUGAGAAAUACUGAUGAAGGCAGAUGGUGGUGCCCUACAACGGUGUCAACCGACUUGAAAGGGGAAUAAGCCACCGCCACUUGAGAGCAGAUGCAAAACACGACUUUCCAGCAUCCUCUCAUACAAGAAACACAGAGCUAAAAUACUGAAGGACUGGAAACCAAACCUUUGGGCAAAAUUUCAGUGCCCUGCAGUCAUUUGACAGUGUAGAAGGGUGGGGACAGUUUUGCUUCCUGUCUGCCACAAAUGACUGGCAAGGAAUCCACUCAGUGACACAAAGAAAUGCCCUUUAUCUCUGAGGAUGGAAGGAAGGAGAGGAAGAAAGAUCUUCCCAACGCAAGAUGCCCCACGGGUAUCAUUCAAGAUCUGGAAGCCAUGAAAGAGAAGAGCAGGCGUGGUGUGGGGCCAGGAACAGAGGUAGCCUCUGUGAAGAGAGGACUGGACCAGAUAUGCUGAGAGCCUCACCUCCUCUUAUGCACCCUCACCCUGGACAAUGAGCUGAGGAAGACAGGGCCCCUCUGUGGUGCAGACUAUCUAGCCAGCAUCCCAUGGUUGGCUGAUGCUUAUGUUGUAACUGGCUCAAACUCUAUGACAAAAUUUUACAGUUUUGUUACACACUAAGUUUGGUUACAGUUUGUUAUGCGGGAACUCAGAGUUCAGGGGCCACUUCGGGCCAAAUUCAAGUUAACAGAAUACAAAAGAGAUGGACUUAUAAAAGCAAGCCUGUACCCUAGUUUUCUAACCAUCAGGUCAAAGCUCCUCCAACAUACCUAAUGCUCUGCCUGUAGCCUCCUUGGCCAAAGACUGGGAAGUUUACGUAGUGCUCAGAUCUAUAGUUGGGGAAAGGGCAGGAAAGCGAGGCUCUGGAUUUAUGCCACCAGGGAGAUUACCCAUCACUGGUGUAAGGGAUGAAAAGAGACUCUGCACUAUGGAGAUCCUAACCUUCUCACUGUGACAACCUGGCACACGCACAGUUCUGGCUUACCCACAGUUCUAGCUCUAAUAACCUCUGAUUUGUCACCUAGCUUAGGCCUCAAUGUAGUUUCCAGUAAUCUGGGGUUCUCAUUCAGCACACACUCACUUCCGCCACCACCCCUGCCUACUUCUAAGUGCUCAAUCCCAUCUGGCUACGCUGCAGAUGCUACUGAUCUAAAAUAUGACAUGGCACCCAUGAGAGGAGCUAGCCAGCACCUCCAAACCUAAGUGUGGGUCAGAGGACUAGCACCUGGGGUACAAAAUCAAGCCUGUGUAGACAGACACAAACUAUGUUUUCUGUGUUACCGAGUGAAUGAGAGAGGAGAAUGGGAGGGGGGCUGUAGCUCAGUGGUAGAGCACGUGGUUAGCAGGUAUGAAGUCCUAGGUUCAAUCCCCAGCACUGCAGAGAGUGGGCGCUCGGGAGGAAGAGACAAGAGAGUCAGAAGUUCAAGGUUAUCCUGACCGCAUAGUGAGUUUGAAGACAGACUGGGCUACUUGAAAAUCUCUCUCUCUGUCUCUCUCUCUGUCUGUCUGUCUCUCUGUGUGUCUGUCUCUCUCUGUGUGUCUCUGUUUCUCUCUCUCUCUCUCUCUCUCUCUCUCUCUCUCUCUCUCUCUCUGUGCAAUAUAUAUUAUACAUAUAUACACAUAUAUAUGUGAAGGGAACAGGGGCAAGGAAGAUGAUAAGGUAAUCAACCAUUCCA
rnacentral:lncRNA from 1 species